rnacentral:lncRNA from 1 species
GUGAACUGGGGAGGCGGAGCUUUCCAUGAGCCAAGAUCACACCACUGCACUCCAGCCUGGGCAACAGAGCGAGACUCCGUCACCAAAAAAAGUUAACAUAACCAAUAGCCUGUUAACUAGAUAAUAGGUUAACCUAAUAACCUACUAACGAAUAUAAAUAUUUUGGUUUCCACACUUCCAGGCUAAUUAUCAUGUACAUAAGUGUAUAACCAUCUCCAUCUGCCUGGGAAAGAGGGUUUUCUGGGAUGUAGGACCUUCAGCGCCAAAGCCAGGAAAGUCCCAGAGACAACCGAGAUGAGUUGGUCAUCCUAUUAUAGUUUUAUGUUGUAUUCUAUUUUCUAAAAAGAUAAUGAAAAUGUAGUAUUUGGCUUUUGAAUGGCAAUUUUUUCUUGGACCAUCAGGUACCAAGGUGUUGCUGGGAUCACAAAUGAGCCAGCCAAGCUCCUUGACUGCUGACCACCACUCACAGACCACCACCCACCCAGGACUCAUCGCCCAGGAGGAAGAGCAGAGCCACACUCAGUGCCAAUAGCUUGUCCAUCGUCCUCAGGAAGGAGGUCCUGGAAGCAGGCUGCCACUGAAAGGCCAGCUUUCCCAGGCUUUGGCUCUCUCCUAGCCCUGGGCAGGGGGCAGGGACCCACUGUCUGCAGAGCCGUUUUGCUAUCAGCAUCUUCUGACUCCCACUGCAGGAGUGUUACAGCCCCGUUGCACUUUCUGCAGAGUAAACACCCUAGUUUAUGAAACUUUUUUUUCUGUUUUUUUAGGGCGGUGGGAGAACCUGAGGACAGGAUCUCUGAAGGAAUAGUAACAUGGUGUACAGGAAGAAUUGAUGUUUGCUGGGAACCUGACACACUCCAAGCCUGAGGUCCCUGAGCAACUUCCCACCUCACUCCAUCCCUCCUUCUCCCCUACCCACUUACUCUCAGGUAGAGAGCAAGCCUCACACACAACCUGGGGAGAGUCCAGGCUGCAGUGCAAGGGCAGAGUAAAGAACUCCAGGCUGAAAAUGCAUCAAGUCGGGGAGCUCCACCUGCCUGAGGAAGAGCUCCUCCAUCAGACCACACCUCCUGCCAAACAGACAUACCUGGGGACCAGGUGAUGCCACAAUGUGCAUGGUGUGCAAGCUUUUUAAGAGAGGCCAGUUUAAUAGGCAAGGGCAACUGCACUGUGAACCAUGGCUCUGGAUGCAGAACCAGGGAUUUCUUCAUUUUUGCUGAGACAGGUGGGUGGUUCUAUAAUCACACGGAAUUGAACUGCUUAAAUACAUGUGCGCCUUCACAUAUGUAUCUUAUGACCUGAAGGUUUCAACCUUUUGCUGUAAAGAUCAAGACUUCUGUAAUAGAAAUAAAGGACAAUUAAUGACCACGAAGACUGACUGACCAUCACUUCCUUGGCAGUGGUGGUUUGCCCUUCACCUCUUUCUGUGCCAGUAUCUCUGGUGUGCUCCCCCUCCCCACGUGCUCCUGCUGAGCCUGCAGGAUCCUGGAGUGCCCUCCAAGUAUCCCUCCUCACUUCUCUCCAGGCUACUGGCUCCAUCCUUCUGACGCCAAAUACUCUCAGUUCACCCUGUGAUAUUGUUGCGAUGUUUGUCCCCUCUAAAUCUCAUGUUGAAAUGUGAUCCCCAAUAUUGGAGGUGAGGUCUGAUGAAAGGUGUUUUGGUCAUGGGAGCAGAUUUCUCAUGAAUGGCUUGAUGCCCUCCUCAUGGGAAUGAGUGAGUUCUCACUGUAUUAGUUGACAUGAGAGCUGUGGUUUAAAAGAGCCUGGCACCUCCUCUCCUCUCUCUUGCUUUGUUUCUUACCAUGUGGCACCCCUGCUCCCCCUUUGCCUUCUGCCAUGAAUAAAAGCUUUCUGAGGCCUCACCAGAAGCCAAGCAGAUGCUGCUUCCAUGUUUGUGCAGCCAGUAUAGCCAUGAGCCAAAAUAAACCUUUUUUCCUUAUAAAUUACCCCGUCUCAGGUAUUCCUUUAUAACAAUGCCAAAUGGAUUAACCCUCGCUUCAUUCUCGUCUUCAUUCACAUCUGCUCAUCCCCAGCAGCCCUGUGUCGCUUGCAUCUUCUCAGCCCUCACCAUUCCUGCAUUAAUUUGACUGACUAACUGCCCAGUUUCCAGUACCAACAACUUAGCAGUGACUGUAGAGAGCACAGAAAGGUAAUGGGCUCCAUUUCAUACACCAGGAGGCAGAGGGGUCAGGGGAAAACUCAGGAAAACAUGUCCACUUGGCAGAGGGACAGAGAGGGCUUAACGUCCAGGAAGGUAUCAAGGCCUGGGGCAGACCAGUGGGGUCAUCAGCUUUAGAUGCCACCUACACACCCAGAACCUACUGAUAGCCUAAGUUAUGAGAUGGAAAGAAGUAACCAGUGAGUUGAGUGAGAACAGGGGUGGAUGAAUCAUAGACACUAGCGACCACCCAAAUACAAAGGCAGUGAAGGUCUCUCUCCAAAAGAUUGUUGAGUGGUGGUCAGAGAAGUAGCAGGGGAGCCAGCAUUCAGCGGCAUCACUGUCUGCUUGGACAACGUGGAGUCUGGGGCAGAGCAGCCUCACUGGGGAAGUGGGACAGAAGCCGCAUUUCACUGGAUGAGGAAAGAGGAGUCUGGGACAGGAGGAAAUGGUGAGUAAGCGCAGCUCUUCCAAAAAGUGUAGGAAGAAUGGAGAGAGUGGAGUCAAAUUUUGUAAAGAAGAAUGAGUGUAAUAUGUUUUUAGGCAAAAGAAGGUGUGUCUUCUCAUUUUUUCACAUUCCUUUAAUGUAAAAUUUCUCUUGUUUUGGCUAUAGGAGUCUUUGUCAUCAUCUUAUUAUCUCUCUCAAUGCAUAGUUAAACAUUUUUUCUCCCAUUCUAUAAUUAAUAUAUCCUGCUCGUUUUGUCUAUCUCUUUCUGCUUCUUUUUCUUUUCAUGUCUCUGCC